rnacentral:lncRNA from 1 species
AUGGUCGCGGCAACUCGGAGUCUACCCCGAACGUGUGAAGGCUGGACUACAGCUUGGAUUGGGCUCCGCCGCUGGACACACGUACGGAAACACACGUCUUUGGAAGGCGGACGUCAGAAACGCACUCAAACGCGUGGAGACCAUGCAAACUCCCCACAGACAGGAGCUCCGCUCCACAAUCAAAGCCAGUGCCCAAGAACUAUGAAAGAGCUCCGGGUGAGGAAGCGGUCAGCACCGCUCUUGUUGCUUCUGUCAGAAUGGUAUAUGAGUAUAUUAAAGAAUUGAAAUUAUGAAUAAAGAAGAGUGACUGUCAUACACUGUAGUAGUAAAUAAAACAAUAUAGUCUGGUACUAACAUAUAAAGAACCUCAGGCUCUAAUCAAAGUGGUUUCUUUAACUCGGUAUGGUCUUGUGAGGGAAACUAUGGCUCUAAACCAUGAGUAUAAUAGGAGCUGCCAUCACACGUUAUCACAGGAUACUUUCGGUGGGGGACGUCAGUAUUAAAUCUUUUGUUAUGUUUUUUAUCUCCGUGCUCCGCCUUUGUUACGUGACUCCUGCAUUAUUUUUCGAUCGUCCUAUGUUUCAGGACCGUGGACAGCUCGUUGUAAGAAGCCGAUAUCAACUCCAAAUACUUUCACUAAGAGGUGUACAAUCGCUGCUUGGUCGCCUAUGCCUGAAGCGGAUUUCCUCUUGAUCAAAACCACGCUGUUCUCUGGGGGCGGCUCGUAUCAGCAUCUCGCAAAUGAUCAGGUUUUGCUGCCUUCUUGCUUGACUUGCGACAUAACAGAAGCGAACAUCUUGCUUUUUUCGGUUUUCUGUUUUUCUCUCGCUAGUGGACAUUUCUUCAGCUCUAAGAGUUUACGCAAAAUGACAACAUUUCCCUUAGAUCCACGCGAGUGGAAAAACACGUUUGUUGCAAGCUAGAAAGUGUAAAGGUAACUGGAUGAACACCCCUAGUUAACUAGUUAUUUAGCUUCGGGUUUGGGUUUAGGACACAAUGGGUACACAGUGAAUGACUCUUACAGAAGCCAAGUUUUUAUUCUGUGCCUCUAGAGGAAAUCUGCGUUGCUGUGUGAAUUAUUGGAUUCGUUUCACACAGAUCUACACGACAAACAGGCUAUUUCGCGGUUGUAUACUCCGUUUUCGCGCGGGCUCACGACCUCUUAUGACCUGUGAGCUCCGUGUUAGCAAAACAAAUACCGCAUAGAAGAAAGAAAAAGUCCAAAAUGUGUCUUAAAAAUAGGAUUACUCUGGACGAAUUGAUACUUUUGCAUUCUUUAUUUUUUACUAGAUCUACUACAAUUACAACUACCAGAACAGUCGUGAUAGUAGCUUGCCUGGCUAGGACAGUCAUCCAUAGUAAUUGUAAGUUUUGGAAUGCCUUUCUCAGCACCUGAAUUGCAGGAGCAGGAGGAUAUGAUGAAUCAUGCAGUCAAGAAAAGUGACUUGUGUAAGAUGGCUGAAGAAUCUUGAAGAACCAAGCUAAAACAGAGAGCUUUGCCAUUUUUAAACGCAGGCGUCUAAGCACAGAGCUGGAAGAUUGUGCAAGCAGCUGAGGUCUUUCAUGGAGCUGAAGAAUCACAAUCAACACUUUUGUCUCCAGAGGUUCUGAUACACAGGUUUUACAUCAGGAAGAAGAUGAUACCUUGGAGUUUGCUGUUGAUGAUCUCAUUCGUAUGAUGAAAGACAUAGGGACCUCAUGUAAUGCUAAUGAUAAACAUUAAAGCAAAGAAGAAAGAUCUCUUCACUUAAAAAAGUGUAUCAAAAUGCUACGUUUGCUGAUUUGAAAAUGUCUUUUUUGUUUGUUGUUUAGUUUCAAGAAGAGUGCAUUCAGUGGCUGGAGGAAGAAUAUAAUCCCAUAUUAAAUUUUUAACACUUAAUGGUUCCAUUAUUUUAAAAAUGAGACAUUUUGACUUUGUAAAUAUGAACUAGUUUGUACAGGAAUGGAUUGAAAACAGGCCAACGAUUUGAAAAUUGUGUACCAAAGGUCAAAUAUAAGAAAUGAAUCAUAAUAAAUUAGGAACAACAGUCUCUGCCAUUGUCAGAAUUACAGACUUGACACACAAUUUAUUUGCACUUGAAGUUGGUGAAUCUGAGUUUGUCCAGGAGAUGUUUUCAUGAGUGAGAUACACAAAGAAAAUAUUAAUCUCUAUAAAAAGUGUUUUGAAUUUUCUAGGCUGUAUAUUUAUAAGACUCAGAUUUUAGGAUGUUUUUGAGAUAAGAUGCAGAGAUUUCUAUUUACAUGGUAGAACCAUUAUGCUGUGUGCAGUUGAACUUUCCCCACAAAAUACACAUUAUCAUAAAAUAUUGUAACACCCUUAUUUAAUUGUGUCGUGCAUAAAUCUAUUUUUCGUGGUUUAGUAUUUAACAUCAUUUGAAAUACAAGACAUUUUCUAAAGUAUAAAUAUUUUUUCAAUCACAAAGGAUUGCCAAUACUCUUGUUUCUGCCAUUAUAGUCAGGUAUUCCACUGCAUCGUGACACCACUGAAGUGAGCUGCAAACAUGUGCAGUUGAAAAACUAAUGAUUGUUGUGGUUUACUACAGCAGAUGCAUGAUCAAUUACAUUAUGCAACAGCACAGUUUGUUUUGCUGCUUUUUAAAAUAAAUAAAUGAUCCGGUUUAGACAGGAAACCUGCAGUCAUUAAUGAAUUCUUGUAUUUUAAAGGGGUUACUUCAGAAGAAAAGAAAGGACAAACAGAAAGACAAAUGCCUUGUAGAGUGUGGUCAUGGUAUAAACCCUGUAGAAAUAUGUGAACACAAAGGUUCAAAUGGUGAGGUGAGUCACUGUGCGUUGGCAGCAAAGGGAUACAGCUUUUAAACUACAAAGCCUUUUUCGGGUUCGUUAUAGGUUAUAGACUCAGUAGCUAAAAGAUUGAUUUUUUUCUUUCAGCUUUUUAGCGUGGAAGUUUCCUCUGCUUGAUGUGUGUGACUGGAGAUAGAAGUUGCUGAAGAAAUAACUUCAGUCCCACCUAAAAUAAAAGGCUGCAUAAAAAGCCA